AGCUAAUAUUUGCAUAGCCACUUUGGGCUUGAUUCAGAGUUUUAUUAAAAUUGUUUUAUUUAAUUCUUGGAAUAAUUCUGUGAAACUUACUGAAGCCACUUAGUGUAACUGAAAAAGUAUAAUCUGCUCUGGAUUGCUUGAAUUCCACCUUUGCCGCUUAACUAGUUGUGUGACCUUGGGCAAGUUAUUUAAUCUCUGAGCCUCAGUUUCCUCAACAGUAAAGUAGGGAUAAUCAUGCCCACCUUAUAGGGCUAUUGGGGGGAUUAAUGAAUAAUACACAAAUAGCUCCUGGUACAUAGUGGGAACUCAGUGAAUGUUGGUUCUCUCCUCCCCUAUUCCGGGCUGGGGCUGGUGCUCUUUUCACUAUGGCCCAGCUGUCUCAUCUUGAUGAUCACUCUAGUUUUGAGGGGCUGAUUAUAUAAAUUGUUCUCCCACAGGCCCAAGUGUGGCAGGAUGAUCCCUCUCAGCUGGAAAUCUGCUCGGUUUGCAAGUAACCCAGGCCCAGCUCCCACCUAUGUGCAGAUCAAUGGACUGGCUCUACCUGGCCUCCUUCCACACCCCUCUGAGGGCCUUUGCCAUUGGUCAGCAAUUCCCUCAGAAGGAGGUGGGCUCACCAUCAGUCUGUGUGUGCAAUGGAAAUCAGGACAAUCAUCCUGCCACAGGGAACAGUGGCAAGAGCAUCAUCAGCCUCUGUCUCACCCAAGCACAUGCAACAUGAGGACCCUUGGCCAAGACUGACACUCCCCUUCCAUGUGCCUAAGCAUCUGGAGAGAAUUGACACCUUUCCCCAGUCACCCAGAUGUUUUGUCUGCAUGUCAAGAACCAUCCGGAAGUGCCUAAGUAUGUCUCUUGUCUGCCAAUAGACCACUGUGAAAGGAUGACAUAGGAAAAUGGAGGGAGGAAACUGUACCCUGCUGCUCUUGCUGAUAUGUCUACUUCAGCAUCAAAGCACUGAGAGAGUGAGCUGUGAUCACUACAGUCUGGUGAGUCUGUUCAUGCUCAUGUAGGUGUGGUUUUUGUUAUUUUGUUUUGAGCAGAGUGGGUUUUUUUUUUUUUUUUUUUGCCAGCCUUUGAAUCUCUGAACAUCUCCUUUUAUCCUCUUGAUUUAUCCAAAGCAAAAUAAUAGAAUUGUAGCAUAGUAUAGUAGAACAGUAAUUAGACUAUGAUUCAGACAAGCCAGGUUCUAGUUUUGUAUGUUCUAUGGGCAAGCCACUUCAUCUCUAUCAAGAAGCAUUUCUAUAGCAAUUAGUCUUGGAAGAUGCUACACACGUUAGGAUCUGUGAUCCUAUAUAUUCUUUCCUUCCCUCCACCCCAAGAUUUACAAUGCACUUCAUCCCUGAUGUACUCUGAAACCUUUUGAACUUGUUUGAUCUAGAGAUUCCCAAAUUUAUUUGACCUAGGAAUCCUGUACCUGAGAACAUCAUGUUAGACCCUGGGAAAAUAUUAUCGGGUAA
rnacentral:lncRNA from 1 species